rnacentral:rRNA from 1 species
GACGAACGCUGGCGGCGUGCCUAAUACAUGCAAGUCGAACGCAGUGGGGACGGGUGAUUAACACGUGGCUAACCUCCCAUCAGAGGGGAUAACCCUUGGCAACAGGUGCUAAACCGCUACUGAUGGAUGGACCCGCGGUGCAUUAGCUAGUUGGUGAGGUAAAGGCGCACCAAGGCCACGAUGCAUAGCCGGCCGGAGAGGGGGAUCGGCAAAACUGGGACUGAGACACGGCCCAGACUCCUACGGGAGGCAGCAGUAGGGAAUCUUCGGCAAUGGACGAAAGUCUGACCGAGCAACGCCGCGUGAGUGAAGAAGGUUUUCGGAUCGUAAAACUCUGUUGUUAGAGAAGCGGUAUCUAACCAGAAAGCCACGGCUAACUACGUGCCAGCAGCCGCGGUAAUUC